GACGAACGCUGGCGGCGUGCUUAACACAUGCAAGUCGAACGGAAAGGCCCUGCUUUUGUGGGGUGCUCGAGUGGCGAACGGGUGAGUAACACGUGAGUAACCUGCCCUUGACUUUGGGAUAACUUCAGGAAACUGGGGCUAAUACCGGAUAGGAGCUCCUGCUGCAUGGUGGGGGUUGGAAAGUUUCGGCGGUUGGGGAUGGACUCGCGGCUUAUCAGCUUGUUGGUGGGGUAGUGGCUUACCAAGGCUUUGACGGGUAGCCGGCCUGAGAGGGUGACCGGCAACAUUGGGACGGAGAUACGGCCCGGACUCCUACGGGAGGCAGCAGUGGGGAAUAUUGCACAAUGGGCGGAAGCCUGAUGCAGCAACGCCGCGUGCGGGAUGACGGCCUUCGGGUUGUAAACCGCUUUCGCCUGUGACGAAGCGUGAGUGACGGUAAUGGGUAAAGAAGCACCGGCUAACUACGUG
rnacentral:rRNA from 1 species